UCGGACACAUCUGAUGGGACUGAGUCAACUGACAUCAUAGAAAUCCCUACAACCGAAAGAAUUAUCGUCUCGGCCGUCACAAAAUCGCCCACCCCCGUUGUUGGAUCAAAUUUUCCACCAGUUUUUAAGAGCACUAGUGGCACAUCUGCAUCUGCCAUUCCAACUUCGAAACAGACAACUGCAAUAUCUCCAACGGCGACUGAUGCAGCCAAAACCGUGGUUCCAACAAUCACUACGACCUCCAAAGCUCUACUAACAACUACGAGUACAACAACCACCACAAUGGCACCCAAAUCCUGUUCCAUGAUGUGCACAGACUUUGAUCAAUUUCUUUUGGGAAAACCAACAUCUAAGCCUUCAUCGG